rnacentral:rRNA from 1 species
GCCCAGACUCCUACGGGAGGCAGCAGUGGGGGAUAUUGGACAAUGGGGGAAACCCUGAUCCAGCGAUGCCGCGUGAGGGAAGAAGGUUUUCGGAUUGUAAACCUCUGUGGACAGGGACGAUAAUGACGGUACCUGUCAAGAAAGCCCCGGCUAACUACGUGCCAGCAGCCGCGGUAAUACGUAGGGGGCAAGCGUUAUCCGGAUUUACUGGGUGUAAAGGGAGCGUAGACGGCAGCACAAGUCUGAAGUGAAAUGCCAGUGCUCAACACUGGAACUGCUUUGGAAACUGUGUAGCUAGAGUGCAGGAGAGGUAAGUGGAAUUCCUAGUGUAGCGGUGAAAUGCGUAGAUAUUAGGAGGAACACCAGUGGCGAAGGCGGCUUACUGGACUGUAACUGACGUUGAGGCUCGAAGGCGUGGGGAGCAAACAGGAUUAGAUACCCCAGUA